UCCUCCCUCAAACCCCCGGUUUGGUGUUGGACCGCGUCGACCUGCGAGGGUCGACUGGUCUCAAAGACAAUGACGGCGUCCGUGGGACCCUCUUCGCAACGAGCUUUCGGGCACGCGAACACAAAGGACCCGCGGGCCGGCCACCCUUCUUAUCAUUUACAA
rnacentral:misc_RNA from 1 species